rnacentral:misc_RNA from 1 species
UCAUCACUGUGGGACUUGGU